CUCAGAUCAUGUAAGAAUUUAAAGGUCGAAAAGACCUAAUUACUGGGCUACUGCACCCAAAAUUUUUCUUAAUCCAACAUCGAGGUCGCAAUCUGCUUUGUCGAUAUGAGCUCUCAAAAACAAUUACGCUGUUAUCCCUAAGGUAACUUAAUCUUAUGAUCAUAAAUUAUGGAUCAAAACAACAAACAUAAAUAAAUGAUAUAAUAAUGAAGAGUUUAUUUUUUCUUCAUGUCACCCCAACAAA